UACGUAGGGUGCGAGCGUUGUCCGGAAUUAUUGGGCGUAAAGAGCUCGUAGGCGGUUUGUCGCGUCUGCUGUGAAAACCGGAGGCUCAACCUCCGACCUGCAGUGGGUACGGGCAAACUAGAGUGCGGUAGGGGAGAUUGGAAUUCCUGGUGUAGCGGUGGAAUGCGCAGAUAUCAGGAGGAACACCGAUGGCGAAGGCAGAUCUCUGGGCCGUAACUGACGCUGAGGAGCGAAAGCGUGGGGAGCGAACAGG
rnacentral:rRNA from 1 species